CGCUUACGGGACCUUCAGAAGCAUCACCAGGGAGCGGAUCGAGGUGAUCCUGCAGGGCACAGCCAGUGCCAACGCCAGCGCCCCCGAUGCCGUGUGGGAGGACUACGAGUUCAAGUGCAAGCCAGGUGACCCCAGCAGACGGCCCUGCCUCAUGUCCCCAUACCACUACCGCCUGGACUGGCUGAUGUGUUUUGCGGCCUUCCAGCUACACGGGAGGAGGAAGGAUCGAUUGAGCCCAACUGCUGCAGCCUCAAAUGAUGGCAGCAUUGCACUCCAGCCUGGGGGACAGAGCCAGACCCUGUCUCAGAGAACAGGAAAGAAGGAAUCCCCAAGGGCUGGGGGUAGCAGAGGCACCCACAGACAGAGCUGCUGUUUCUGUCCUCUCGGUCCCGUCUCAGCCACCAGAAAACAGCCUCAGGGAGGCAGGGUCCAGAGGGUGCUGGGGCAGACAGGCUCCGAGGCACCCAGGCAGGGAAGCGAGGCCAGCAGCCGGCAUAGGAAGGAGUGGUCAGGGCUACAAGGAGCAUGCGAAGCAGGCAGCCCCUUAAGGGGACCCCAGCCAAAGAACUGGAGUGCGGC
rnacentral:sRNA from 1 species